GACGAACGCUGGCGGCGUGCCUAAUACAUGCAAGUCGACCUUAGUUGCGAACGGGUAAGUAACACGUGGGUAAACUGCCCCUCAGAAGGUGAUAACACAUGGAAACAGGUGCUAAUACCGUAUACUGAUGGAUUGACCCGAGGUGCAUUAGCUAGUUGGUGAGGUAACGGCUCACCAAGGCCACGAUGCAUAGCCGACCUGAGAGGGUGAUCGGCCACAUUGGGACUGAGACACGGCCCAAACUCCUACGGGAGGCAGCAGUAGGGAAUCUGCGGCAAUGGACGAAAGUCUGACCGAGUAACGCCGCGUUAGUGAAGAAUGUUUUCGGAUCGUAAAACUCUGUUGUUAGAGAAGCGGUAUCUAACCAGAAAGCCACGGCUAACUACGUGCCAGCAGCCGCGGUAAUUC
rnacentral:rRNA from 1 species